rnacentral:rRNA from 1 species
UACGUAGGGUGCAAGCGUUAAUCGGAAUUACUGGGCGUAAAGCGUGCGCAGGCGGUGAUGUAAGACAGUUGUGAAAUCCCCGGGCUCAACCUGGGAACUGCAUCCGAAACUGCCUUGCUAGAGUAUGGGAGAGGGAAGUGGAAUUUCCGGUGUAGCGGUGAAAUGCGUAGAUAUCGGAAGGAACAUCAGUGGCGAAGGCGACUUCCUGGACCAAUACUGACGCUCAGGUGCGAAAGCGUGGGGAGCAAACAGG